UCCGUUGUCGUCCAGCGGUUAGGAUAUUUGGCUUUCACCCAGCCACCCAGGGGACCUGGGUUUGAUUCCCGGCAAUGGAA
rnacentral:tRNA from 1 species